CAGCAGCCGCGGUAAUACGGAGGGAGCUAGCGUUGUUCGGAGUUACUGGGCGUAAAGCGCACGUAGGCGGCUUUGUAAGUUAGAGGUGAAAGCCUGGAGCUCAACUCCAGAAUUGCCUUUAAGACUGCAUCGCUUGAAUCCAGGAGAGGUGAGUGGAAUUCCGAGUGUAGAGGUGAAAUUCGUAGAUAUUCGGAAGAACACCAGUGGCGAAGGCGGCUCACUGGACUGGUAUUGACGCUGAGGUGCAAAAGCGUGGGGAGCAAACAGGAUUAGAUACCCCAGUAGUCCCUGUCUCUUAUAC
rnacentral:rRNA from 1 species